GAACGAACGCUGGCGGCAUGCCUAACACAUGCAAGUCGAACGAGACCUUCGGGUCUAGUGGCGCACGGGUGCGUAACGCGUGGGAACCUGCCCUUAGGUUCGGAAUAACUCCCCGAAAGGGGUGCUAAUACCGGAUAAUGUCUUCGGUCCAAAGAUUUAUCGCCUUUGGAUGGGCCCGCGUUGGAUUAGCUAGUUGGUAGGGUAAAAGCCUACCAAGGCGACGAUCCAUAGCUGGUCUGAGAGGAUGAUCAGCCACACUGGGACUGAGACACGGCCCAGACUCCUACGGGAGGCAGCAGUGGGGAAUAUUGGACAAUGGGCGAAAGCCUGAUCCAGCAAUGCCGCGUGAGUGAUGAAGGCCUUAGGGUUGUAAAGCUCUUUUACCCGGGAUGAAAAUGACAGUACCGGGAGAAUAAGCUCCGGCUAACUCCGUG
rnacentral:rRNA from 1 species